rnacentral:rRNA from 1 species
ACGAACGCUGGCGGCGUGCCUAAUACAUGCACGUAGAACGCUGAAGAGAGGAGCUUGCUCUUCUUGGAUGAGUUGCGAACGGGUGAGUAACGCGUAGGUAACCUGCCUUGUAGCGGGGGAUAACUAUUGGAAACGAUAGCUAAUACCGCAUAACAAUGGAUGACACAUGUCAUUUAUUUGAAAGGGGCAAUUGCUCCACUACAAGAUGGACCUGCGUUGUAUUAGCUAGUAGGUGAGGUAACGGCUCACCUAGGCGACGAUACAUAGCCGACCUGAGAGGGUGAUCGGCCACACUGGGACUGAGACACGGCCCAGACUCCUACGGGAGGCAGCAGUAGGGAAUCUUCGGCAAUGGGGGCAACCCUGACCGAGCAACGCCGCGUGAGUGAAGAAGGUUUUCGGAUCGUAAAGCUCUGUUGUAAGUCAAGAACGAGUGUGAGAGUGGAAAGUUCACACUGUGACGGUAGCUUACCAGAAAGGGACGGCUAACUACGUG